rnacentral:rRNA from 1 species
AGAGGAGCUUGCUCUUCUUGGAUGAGUUGCGAACGGGUGAGUAACGCGUAGGUAACCUGCCUGGUAGCGGGGGAUAACUAUUGGAAACGAUAGCUAAUACCGCAUAAUAGUAGAUGUUGCAUGACAUUUGCUUAAAAGGUGCAAUUGCAUCACUACCAGAUGGACCUGCGUUGUAUUAGCUAGUUGGUGAGGUAACGGCUCACCAAGGCAACGAUACAUAGCCGACCUGAGAGGGUGAUCGGCCACACUGGGACUGAGACACGGCCCAGACUCCUACGGGAGGCAGCAGUAGGGAAUCUUCGGCGAUGGACGGAAGUCUGACCGAGCAACGCCGCGUGAGUGAAGAAGGUUUUCGGAUCGUAAAGCUCUGUUGUAAGAGAAGAACGAGUGUGAGAGUGGAAAGUUCACACUGUGACGGUAUCUUACCAGAAAGGGACGGCUAACUACGUGCCAGCAGCCGCGGUAAUACGUAGGUCCCGAGCGUUGUCCGGAUUUAUUGGGCGUAAAGCGAGCGCAGGCGGUUAGAUAAGUCUGAAGUUAAAGGCUGUGGCUUAACCAUAGUACGCUUUGGAAACUGUUUAACUUGAGUGCAAGAGGGGAGAGUGGAAUUCCAUGUGUAGCGGUGAAAUGCGUAGAUAUAUGGAGGAACACCGGUGGCGAAAGCGGCUCUCUGGCUUGUAACUGACGCUGAGGCUCGAAAGCGUGGGGAGCAAACGGGAUUAGAUACCCUGGUAGUCCACGCCGUAAACGGUGAGUGCUAGGUGUUAGACCCUUUCCGGGUUUAGUGCCGCAGCUAACGCAUUAAGCACUCCGCCUGGGGA